AGGCUUUAUAGUCAAUUAAUGAUAUUAGACUGCAAUUCUAAAGUAGAUUAUAUAAAUCUAAAGCUUA
rnacentral:tRNA from 1 species